rnacentral:rRNA from 1 species
ACGAACGCUGGCGGCGUGGAUAAGACAUGCAAGUCGAACGGGAGAAUUGCUAGCUUGCUAAUAAUUCUCUAGUGGCGCACGGGUGAGUAACACGUGAGUAACCUGCCUCUUAGUGGGGGAUAGCCCUGGGAAACCGGGAUUAAUACCGCAUACGAUUGAAAGAUCAAAGCAGCAAUGCGCUAGGAGAUGGGCUCGCGGCCUAUUAGUUAGUUGGUGAGGUAACGGCUCACCAAGGCGAUGACGGGUAGCCGGUCUGAGAGGAUGUCCGGCCACACUGGAACUGAGACACGGUCCAGACACCUACGGGUGGCAGCAGUCGAGAAUCAUUCACAAUGGGGGCAACCCUGAUGGUGCGACGCCGCGUGGGGGAAUGAAGGUCUUCGGAUUGUAAACCCCUGUCAUGUGGGAGCAAAUUAAAAAGAUAGUACCACAAGAGGAAGAGACGGCUAACUCUGUGCCAGCAGCCGCGGUAAUACAGAGGUCUCAAGCGCUGUUCGGAAUCACUGGGCGUAAAGCGUGCGUAGGCUGUUUCGUAAGUCGUGUGUGAAAGGCAGGGGCUCAACCCCUGGAUUGCACAUGAUACUGCGAGACUAGAGUAAUGGAGGGGGAACCGGAAUUCUCGGUGUAGCAGUGAAAUGCGUAGAUAUCGAGAGGAACACUCGUGGCGAAGGCGGGUUCCUGGACAUUAACUGACGCUGAGGCACGAAGGCCAGGGGAGCGAAAGGGAUUAGAUACCCCUGUAGUCCUGGCAGUAAACGGUGCACGCUUGGUGUGCGGGGAAUCGACCCCCUGCGUGCCGGAGCUAACGCGUUAAGCGUGCCGCCUGGGGAGUACGGUCGCAAGAUUAAAACUCAAAGAAAUUGACGGGGACCCGCACAAGCGGUGGAGUAUGUGGCUUAAUUCGAUGCAACGCGAAGAACCUUACCUGGGCUUGACAUGUAAUGAACAACAUGUGAAAGCAUGCGACUCUUCGGAGGCGUUACACAGGUGCUGCAUGGCCGUCGUCAGCUCGUGUCGUGAGAUGUUUGGUUAAGUCCAGCAACGAGCGCAACCCCUGUUGCCAGUUACCAGCACGUCAAGGUGGGGACUCUGGCGAGACUGCCCAGAUCAACUGGGAGGAAGGUGGGGACGACGUCAGGUCAGUAUGGCCCUUAUGCCCAGGGCUGCACACGUACUACAAUGCCCAGUACAGAGGGGGCCGAAGCCGCGAGGCGGAGGAAAUCCUGAAAACUGGGCCCAGUUCGGACUGUAGGCUGCAACCCGCCUACACGAAGCCGGAAUCGCUAGUAAUGGCGCAUCAGCUACGGCGCCGUGAAUACGUUCCCGGGUCUUGUACACACCGCCCGUCACAUCAUGGAAGCCGGUCGCACCCGAAGUAUCUGAAGCCAACCGCAAGGAGGCAGGGUCCUAAGGUGAGACUGGUAACUGGGAUG